GCGCUCUAUGAGUGAAAAUUGAGCCGGUGAAGGUAUUGGAACUGGAUAAGGAUUGCCAGGGCAGACGCGGGCAGCCCAAUCGACGGAAGAUUGACGCCACCUGUGCGAGCUAAUGGAAGGAGAUUGGAAACUCCAAACAACAAGGAGCCACGGAGGAGGUACGUGCAACACUAAGCUUUAUUGGAAAAGCUAUAGCACCAGAAACCGCAACACUGAAUCUCGUUGACUCUCACUACAAUAUAAGCCGCACGACGCAUUCUGCCUUCAGUGCGGUUUACUGGAUCACAAACAAAUAUGUCCUUAGUCAAGUCUGACGUUCGGUCACAAAAUGGCAAUGUUGCAUGGGAUUCUGAAAAGGGAAAAAGGGUUACUAGACACACUGAAAAAGGUUUGGAAAUGUUCAUUGAAAACUGUCAGAAAGCAAGAAACUUGAAAUGUAAGCAAGCUAAGAAGUCAAUGGAGUUUCAGAAAGAGCUCAUGAAAUCAAAAGGGAAUGCAAAUGAAGUGCAAUCUAACUUGGUUACAUUAAUCAACCUCUGUAAUGAUGCCAAAAGAAGUCAUGAGUCAUUGGUGAAGUUACCAUUGCCUGAAAAUGAACUUGAAAAGCAAAAUCACUGGUUUCAACAAAAAAUGACAAUUUUUGAUGGUUUUAUACAGGAUGUAAAUGUGUGGUUUUCAGAGGUUGGAUGGCAUGCAACGCAUACCAUUGCUGAAAAUAUAAUCACAGAUGACAUUGGACCGGAUGACAGUAUUUCUAAUGUGUCAAAACCCAAAUCAAGCAACAAAUCAAGUUCUUCAUCACGUGCCUCUUCAACAUCCUCUGCUCGCAUUAAAGCUCAUGCAGAAAAGGCUGCUCUCAUGGAACGGGUCGCCGCUCUGCAGAAAAUGCACGACCUGGAGGCUCAGGAAGAACAACUGAAAAGGAAGAAAGAACAACUGGAACUAGAGACUGAACUGGCAGCAACCAAUGCAAAAAUCAAUGUACUUGAAUCAAGAAAUAGCUCAAGAGUGUCAGACGGAAUGAACUCUUAUUUGGAAAAAGGAACUGUUCAAUGGAAAAGGUCAGUCAAAGAAAAUCCACAUGCAAACACCUAUUUUCCCGAUCAAGUGCAACAAAGACUGAAUGUGCGGACAGGAACAGAAUCAUCUUCCCAGCAACAGGUUGUUCAGCCAAAGAAAAGCGCUGAUGGACCAUCUGUUAGAGCUCAGGAUAUGACUCCUCUAACACAACCUGGAUAUAAUGAUCAUAAUCAAGGUGAUAUCUAUCACAUCAUUCAGAAGCAAAGUGACAUAACCUCUCUUCUAGCUCAACACAAUCUCUCUUCUACUUUACCACCAAGAGAUAUUCCCGUUUAUGAUGGUGAUCCCUUGCAAUAUGGAGUUUUCAUCAGGGCAUUCGAGAGAGGAGUGGAAAGAAAGACUGAUGACUACAGUGACUGCCUGCAUUUCCUAGAGCAAUAUACCAGAGGGUAUCCAAAGGAUUUAGUCCACAGCUGUCAACAUUUGUCUUCGGCUGAGGGCUAUAAAAGAGCAAAAGAACUGCUUAAAGAACAUUUUGGUAGCGAACAUAAGAUUGCUACAGCAUACAUGAACAAAGCGUUUGCCUGGCCAGCGAUUAAGCCAGAGGACGUGAAAGCAUUGCAAGCGUUUACAUUAUUCCUGAGAGGUUGUUGCAAUGCAAUGGAACAACUCACCUAUAUGGAGGAGUUGAACGUCGCUUCCAGUAUGAAGACCAUUCUUCUGAAACUGCCUUACAAGCUCAGAGACAAGUGGAGGAAUAGGGCAUGUCAGCUC
ensembl:lncRNA